UCCCUGGAAGGCUAGUGGUUAGGCCUCGGCGCUCUCACCGCCGCAGCCCGGGUUCGGCUCCCGGCCAGGGAA
rnacentral:tRNA from 1 species